rnacentral:rRNA from 1 species
UACGUAGGGGGCAAGCGUUGUCCGGAUUCAUUGGGCGUAAAGAGCGUGUAGGCGGCCAGGUAGGUCGGUUGUGAAAACUGGAGGCUCAACCUUCAGAGGUCGACCGAAACCAUCUGGCUAGAGUCCGGGAGAGGAGAGUGGAAUUCCUGGUGUAGCGGUGAAAUGCGCAGAUAUCAGGAAGAACACCGAUGGCGAAGGCAGUUCUCUGGGACGGUACUGACGCUGAGACGCGAAAGCGUGGGGAGCGAACAGG